rnacentral:rRNA from 1 species
GAUGAACGCUGGCGGCGUGCUUAACACAUGCAAGUCGAACGGAAAGGCCCAAGCUUGCUUGGGUACUCGAGUGGCGAACGGGGGAGUAACACGUGGGUGAUCUGCCCCGCACUUCGGGAUAAGCCUGGGAAACUGGGUCUAAUACCGGAUAGGACAGUGGUUUGGAUGCCAUUGUGGAAAGUUUUUUCGGUGUGGGAUGAGCUCGCGGCCUAUCAGCUUGUUGGUGGGGGAAUGGCCUACCAAGGCGUCGACGGGUAGCCGGACUGGGAGGGUGUACGGCCACAUUGGGACUGAGGUGCGGCCCCGACGCCUACGGGAGGCAGCAGGGGGGAAUAUUGCACAAUGGGCGCCAGCCUGAUGCAGCGACGCCGCGUGGGGGAUGACGGCCUUCGGGUUGUAAACUCCUUUCGCUAGGGACGAAGCGUUAUGUGACGGUACCUAGAGAAGAAGCACCGGCUAACUACGUG